rnacentral:rRNA from 1 species
GCUAAACAUCUAGCCCCAAUCUUCCACAAUAACCUCUCCCCACACCUUCUCUUUCUUAUUAAAACAUUCUUCAAAUUUAGUAAAGGUGAUUGAAAAACUUCUUUGGAGCUAUAAACACAGUACCGUAAGGGAAAGAUGAAAUAAAAAUGAAAUAAUUCUUAAGCAUAAAAAAGUAAAGCUUAAUCCUUGUACCUUUUGCAUCAUGGUUUAACUAGUCCAAUCAAGCAAAAUGAUCUUUAGUUUGAACCCCCGAACCUGAGCGAGCUACCUUAAAACAGCUUCAUUAGAGCGCACCCGUCUCUGUUGCAAAAGAGUGGGAAGAUUUUAUGGUAGAGGUGACAGACCUAACGAGCUCAGUGAUAGCUGGUUACCCCAAAAAAGGAUUUUAGUCCUGCUUAAAAUUUUAAUUGAUCUUUUUUUCAUAUUUUAAAGUCAUUCAAACAAGGUACAGCCUGUUUGAAAAAGGUUACAACCUUAAUUACUGGGUCAACAUAUUUUAUUUACAGAAAAGUGGGCCUAAAAGCAGCCAUCUUUAAUAAAAGCGUCAAAGCUUCUCUACUAAUAAAAAUAAUAUCCUUAUAAUUCCAAAUCCCAUACUCUCAAUAUAGGGUAACUCUAUAUCUUUAUAGAAGUUUUUAUGUUAAAACUAGUAAUAAGAAGAAUACCCCUUCUCUUCUAACGCAAGCUUAUAUCAGUCAGGAUUCUCCCCUGAUAAUCAACGCUUUAAAUAAAAAGUAGUAACAAAACAAGAAAACUCUACUAAUAAUUCACGUUUACCUAACACCAGAGCGUUACAAGAAAGAUUAAAAGAAAAAGAAGGAACUCGGCAAAUGUUAGUCUCGACUGUUUACCAAAAACAUCGCCUCUUGUUUUAAAAUAAAAGGUACAACCUGCCCAGUGACACUGUUUCAACGGCCGCGGUACCCUAACCGUGCGAAGGUAGCGUAAUCACUUGUUCUUUAAUUGAGGACUUGUAUGAAUGGCUUAACGAAGACUAUACUGUCUCCUUUUUCUAAUCAAUGAAACUAAUCUCCCCGUGAAGAAGCGGGGAUUAACAUAUAAGACGAGAAGACCCUAUGGAGCUUUAAACAACUGAAAUACAUGCUUUUUACAAUUAAAAACACCUCCUGAGAAUCAAAUCCACUUUAAGCAUUCUAAUUUCUAGUUUUAGGUUGGGGUGACCACGGAGCAUAAAUCAACCUCCACGCUGAAAUUUGAACCCUCUUUUUAGUUUAAAGCCACAGCUUUCAACAUCAACACAUUGACUCCUAUUGACCCAAUUAUUUGAUCAACGAACCAAGUUACCCUAGGGAUAACAGCGCAAUCUACUUCAAGAGUUCUUAUCGACAAGUAGGCUUACGACCUCGAUGUUGGAUCAGGGUGUCCUAGUGGUGCAGCCGCUACUAAAGGUUCGUUUGUUCAACGAUUAAAACCCUACGUGAUCUGAGUUCAGACCGGAGUAAUCCAGGUCAGUUUCUAUCUAUAAAGAAGUUUUUCUAGUACGAAAGGGCCGAAAAACCAUGGCCAAUGCCUCUUCAAGCCAUAAAUUUUAAAGUUAUGCCGACAGACUCAAUAACUAAAAAUCUACCACCUACCUCAAAAUCAGAG